rnacentral:rRNA from 1 species
GGGUUGUGAGGUUAAGCGAAUAAGCGUACACGGUGGAUGCCCUGGCAGUCAGAGGCGAUGAAGGGCGUGCUAAUCUGCGAUAAGCGCCGGUAAGGUGAUAUGAACCGCAAUAACCGGCGAUACCCGAAUGGGGAAACCCAGUGCAAUCCGUUGCACUAUCAUGCCAUGAAUACAUAGUGGCAUGAGGCGAACCGGGGGAACUGAAACAUCUAAGUACCCCGAGGAAAAGAAAUCAACCGAGAUUCCCUGAGUAGCGGCGAGCGAACGGGGAACAGCCCAGAGCCUGAAUCAGCAGGUGUGUCAGUGGAAGCGUCUGGAAAGGCGCACGGUACAGGGUGACAGUCCCGUACACAAAGGCACAUCUGUUGUGAGCUCGAUGAGUAGGGCGGGACACGUGGUAUCCUGUCUGAAUAUGGGGGGACCAUCCUCCAAGGCUAAAUACUCCUGACUGACCGAUAGUGAACCAGUACCGUGAGGGAAAGGCGAAAAGAACCCCGGCGAGGGGAGUGAAACAGAACCUGAAACCGUGUACGUACAAGCA